rnacentral:antisense_RNA from 1 species
CCUCUUUAGGCCACGGAGCUGCGCAGAUCCGGUUCCCGGGUGACCACUCUGUCGCCAUUGGGCGAGACCUACCUAGUCCUGACGACAACGGACAAAGGCCUUAAGGGGCCUGGAAGGGAUAUGAUAUUGAAGCACGUGACAAGUUGGUGAUUUCAGCAGUGGUUUCUCCUGUCUAUAGAAACUCUUCAGCAGAUGGCAAUUUUCCACCUUCCUGUAUAAAACCAGAAUCCUCUCACCUGGCAGAAAUCUUUCUCUCCAGAUGCUGCAAAGCCAGCACAGAUCAUCUUCUCUGUGAUCCCUCCUGGAUGGGCAGAAUAAAAGAAGAGGGGCUGAAGCGGAUGCUGCUUGAUAUCAUUUACAUGACUUAUUUUCAAAAAUAACAACUGGCAUUAAUGUUUAUGCAACAAAAAUAUGCUUACCUGCACUGAUGCUUCCCCAUCCGGUCACAGCACAGAUCUCCGAGGAAAAUAGAGGCUCUGUGCUGUGUGGGAGACAUACUGGCCUCACCGCCGAGUUGUACUCCAGAGGAGAGCUUAGUUGUAUUAGGGCAAUGUCAGAGUCAUAACUUAGUGUGUUAAAGUCUUCAUGCACUAUUAUGUGUUUGGCCCUUCUCACCUGUAUCGGUGGCAAGUAAGCAAAUUACAACGUAAGAAA